UGGGGAAUAUUGCACAAUGGGGGAAACCCUGAUGCAGCGACGCCGCGUGAGUGAAGAAGUUAUUCGUAACGUAAAGCUCUAUCAGCAGGGAAGAAAAUGACGGUACCUGACUAAGAAGCCCCGGCUAACUACGUGCCAGCAGCCGCGGUAAUACGUAGGGGGCAAGCGUUAUCCGGAUUUACUGGGUGUAAAGGGAGCGUAGACGGCACAGCAAGUCUGAUGUGAAAGCCCGGGGCCCAACCCCGGAACUGCAUUGGAAACUGCUGGGCUUGAGUGCAGGAGAGGUAAGCGGAAUUCCUAGUGUAGCGGUGAAAUGCGUAGAUAUUAGGAGGAACACCAGUGGCGAAGGCGGCUUACUGGACUGUAACUGACGUUGAGGCUCGAAAGCGUGGGGAGCAAACA
rnacentral:rRNA from 1 species